rnacentral:rRNA from 1 species
GAUGAACGCUGGCGGCGUGCCUAAUACAUGCAAGUCGAGCGAACAGACGAGGAGCUUGCUCCUCUGACGUUAGCGGCGGACGGGUGAGUAACACGUGGAUAACCUACCUAUAAGACUGGGAUAACUUCGGGAAACCGGAGCUAAUACCGGAUAAUAUAUUGAACCGCAUGGUUCAAUAGUGAAAGACGGUUUUGCUGUCACUUAUAGAUGUAUCCGCGCCGCAUUAGCUAGUUGGUAAGGUAACGGCUUACCAAGGCAACGAUGCGUAGCCGACCUGAGAGGGUGAGCGGCCACACUGGAAAUGAGACACGGUCCAGACUCCUACGGGAGGCAGCAGUAGGGAAUCUUCAGCAAUGGGCGAAAGCCUGACGGAGCAACGCCGCGUGAGUGAUGAAGGUCUUCGGAUCGUAAAACUCUGUUAUUAGGGAAGAACAAAUGUGUAAGUAACUAUGCACGUCUUGACGGUACCUAAUCAGAAAGCCACGGCUAACUACGUG